rnacentral:rRNA from 1 species
GACGAACGCUGGCGGCGUGCUUAAUACAUGCAAGUCAACUUGACUUUAGAUAGCAAUAUCGAAAAGUAGGGUGGCGCACGGGUGCGUAACGCGUAGGUAAUCUGCCCUGAGGUCUGACAUAACCCGUCGAAAGGCGGCUAACAUCAGAUGAUAUAUAAUCACGACAUCGUGGAAAUAUCAAAUCUUCGGAGCCUUGGGAUGAGCCUGCGUCUGAUUAGGUAGUUGGCGGAGUAAUAGCCCACCAAGCCUACGAUCAGUAGCUGGUCCGAGAGGAUGAUCAGCCACACUGGAACUGAGACACGGUCCAGACUCCUACGGGAGGCAGCAGUAAGGAAUAUUGCUCAAUGGGGGAAACCCUGAAGCAGCAACGCCGCGUGAAGGAUGAAAUACUUUUGAUGUAAACUUCUGUAAGAUGGGAAAAAUAUUCUCCUCGGGAGAAUUGAUUGUACCAUCAGAGUAAGCCCCGGCUAACUACGUGCCAGCAGCCGA